rnacentral:rRNA from 1 species
UCAGACGAUGCGUCAUGCAUAUCAAUAAGCGGAGGAAAAGAAACUAACAAGGAUUCCCUUAGUAACGGCGAGUGAAGCGGGAAGAGCUCAAAUUUGAAAUCUUCAAGGUUUUACCUUGACGAAUUGUAGUUUAAAGAAGUGUUUUCUGCUGAAGUUUUGGUAAAAGUUCUUUGGAAUAGGACAUCAUAGAGGGUGAGAAUCCCGUAUUUGACCAUUAUUUUCAGCUUUGUGAUACACUUUCAAAGAGUCGGAUUGUUUGGGAAUGCAGUCCAAAAUGGGUGGUAAAUUUCAUCUAAAGCUAAAUAUUGGCGAGAGACCGAUAGCGAACAAGUACCGUGAGGGAAAGAUAAAAGAACUUUGAAAAGAGAGUUAAACAGUACGUGAAAUUGUCAAAAGGGAAGCGUUUGACACCAGUGUUGUUUUCUCGAAAAUCAAUUAAAAAUGGCUCGAUUUUGUAUUGCUUGAGACCUUAAAAGCUCACUGUACAUUUUUCGUGUCUUUUUUAAUGCACUUUUCGUUUAACAAGUCAACAUCAGUUUCUUUUGUUGUAAAAGGGUCAUUGGAAGGUGGCUUUCUUUUCGGAGAAAGUGUUUAUAGCCUUUGGCCUCUGCAAUCGAAGAGACUGAGGUCUGCAGCGUAGACUCUUCGGGGUUAGAUACAUUUGUGCUAAGUUAUAGCUUUUUAUAGACAACUUGUUGACUAUAAUUAGUCUUGUAGCUUACUCGCUUAUGCUAUUUUACCUACGCUUAGGAUGUUGACGAUCAGCUGAGCGCG